ensembl:lncRNA
UGGGGACAUUUAUGGCCACGUGGUGUCCUGGAGGCCAACCUGUUCCCUCCAUAGCCAUUGUAACCAUGACCUGGUGGCACUCUGGGGACAUUUAUGGCCACGUGGUGUCCUGGAGGCCAGCGUGUUCCCUCCAUAGCCACCCUACCAAGACCUGGUGGCACUUUGGGGACCCUUUUGGCCCCGUGCUGACCCCGCCGUCCCCCCCUCUUCCCUCAGGGUGACGCAGUGCAAGUACAAGCGCAUCGGGUGCCCGUGGCAGGGCCCGUUCCACGAGCUGACGGUGCACGAGGCCGAGUGCACGCACCCGACCAAGACGGGCAACGAGCUGAUGGAGAUCCUGGACGAGAUGGACCAGAGCCGCAAGAAGGAGAUGCAGCUCUACAACAGCAUCUUCAGCCUGCUCAGCUUCGAGAACAUCGGCUACACCGGUACGGGGACGGCGGCUGCGCGGGAACCGGGCGCUGCCCUCACCCUUGGGGGGGUGGGGGGGUGGCUCCGUGGGGUGUGCCAUGGGGUGGUGGCAUCGUGUGCCAUGGGGUGGUGGCUCUGUGUCCCGUGGGGUGGUGGCAUCAUGUUCCAUGGGGUGGUAGCAACUCGUUGUGGGGUGGUGGCUUGAUGUCCCAUGGGGCGGUGGCAUCGCGUUGUGGGGCAAUGGCAUCGCGUUGUGGGGUGGUGGCUCUGUGUCCCAUGGGGUGGUGGCAUCUCGUUGUGGGGUGGUGGCAUCUCGUUGUGGGGUGGUGGCAUCUCAUUGUGGGAUGGUGGCCCUGUGUCCCAUGGGGUGGUGGCAUCGUGGUGUGUCCCAUGGGGUGGUGGCAUCGUGGUGUGUCCCAUGGGGUGGUGGCAUCAUGUCCCAUGGGGUGGUGGCAUUGCGUUGUGGGAUGGUGGCUUGAUGUCUCAUGGGGCGGUGGCCCUGUCCCAUGGGGUGGUGGCAUUGUGGUGUGUCCCAUGGGGUGGUGGCAUCGUGGUGUGUCCCAUGGGGUGGUGGCAUCGUGGUGUGUCCCAUGGGGCGGUGGCAUCAUGUCCCAUGGGGUGGUGGCAUUGCGUUGUGGGAUGGUGGCUUGAUGUCCCAUGGGGCGGUGGCCCUGUCCCAUGGGGUGGUGGCAUUGUGGUGUGUCCCAUGGGGCGGUGGCAUCAUGUCCCAUGGUGUGGUGGCAUCUCGUUGUGGGGUGGUGGCUCUGUGUCCCAUGGGGUGGUGGCAUCGCGUUGUGGGGUGGUGGCAUCGCGUUGUGGGGUGGUGGCAUCGCGUUGUGGGGUGGUGGCAUCGCGUUGUGGGGUGGUGGCUCUGUGUCCCAUGGGGUGGUGGCUCUGUCCCAUGGGGUGGUGGCAUCGUGGUGUGUCCCAUGGGGUGGUGGCAUCGCGUUGUGGGAUGGUGGCUUGAUGUCCCAUGGGGUGGUGGCCCUGUCCCGUGGGGUGGUGACAUUGUGGUGUGUCCCGUGGGGAGGUCGCAUCAUGAUGUCCCGUGGGGUGGUGGCAUCACCGUGAGGGAUGGUGGCUUAAUGUCCCAUGGGAUGGUGGCUCUGUCCUAUGGGGUGAUGGCAUCGCGCUGUGGGGCGGUGGCGCUGUGCUGCGCUGUGGGGCGGAGGCACUGUGCUGUGGGGCGGUGGCGUUGGCCGUGGGGCAGCGUGGAAUGUGGGGCAGGGCUGGCCAUGGGGCUCCGUUGCGAUCCCCUUGGGGUUCCCCUUGGGAUCUUAUUGGGGUUCCCCUUGGGAUCUUAUUGGGGUUCCCAUUGCUGUUCCUUUUGGGGUUCCCAUUGCUGUUCUUUUGGGGUUCCCAUUGCAGGUCCCAUUGGGUUCCCGUUGCUGUUCCUUUUGGGGUUCCAUUGCAUGUCCCCUUGGGUUCCCCUUGGGUUCCCCUUGGGUUCCCCUUGGGUUCCCCUUGGGUUCCCCUUGGGUUCCCCUUGGGUUCCCCUUGGGGUUCCCUUUGGGGUUCCUAUUGCCAUUCCCUUUGGGGUUCCUAUUGCCAUUCCCAUUGAGUUCCCAUUAGGGUUCCUAUUGCCGUUACCAUUGGGUUUCUCACUGGGAUCCUGUUGGGGUUCCUAUUGCGGAUCCCCUUGGGAUCUUUUUGGGGUUCCAGUUAGGAUUCCCAUUGCGUUCCUGUUGGGGUUCCUAUUGCGGUUCCCAUUGGGUUCCCCUUGGGGUUCCCAUUGCCGUUCCUUUUGAGAUCCCAUUGGGUUCCCCUUGGGGUUCCCAGUGCUGCUCCCUUUGGGAUCUUUUUGGGGUUCCCCUUGGGCUUCCUAUUGCCAUUCCCAUUGGGGUUCCCAUUGGGGUUCCUGUUGGGUUUCUCACUGGGAUCCUUUUGGGGUUCCACUUGGGGUUCCCCUUGGGCUUCCUAUUGCCUUUCCUAUUGGGAUUCCCUUUGGGGUUCCCAUUGGAUUUCUCACUGGGAUCCUGUUGGGAUCCCAUUGGGGUUCCCAUUGGGGUUCCCAUUGCCGUUCCCUUUGGGAUCCUUUUGGGGUUCCCCUUGGGGUUCCUAUUGCGGAUCCCCUUGGGAUCUUUUUGGGGUUCCAGUUGGGAUUCCCAUUGGGUUCCUGUUGGGGUUCCUAUUGCGGUUCCC